UACAGAGGUGCCAAGCGUUAGGCGGAAUCACUGGGCUUAAAGCGCGUGUAGGUGGGUCGUUAAGUGUCCGCGUGAAAUCCCACGGCUCAACCGUGGAACUGCCGGGCAUACUGGCGAUCUUGAGGCAUUCAGGGGCGAGCGGAACAAAUGGUGGAGCGGUGAAAUGCGUAGAUAUCAUUUGGAACGCCAAUGGUGAAAACAGCUCGCUGGGGACUCGCUGACGCUGAGACACGAAAGCCAGGGGAGCGAACGGG
rnacentral:rRNA from 1 species